CACGUCCAAUGCAAAACUCUCGAUUAAUUAAUUGAGUGAAGUGAUGUAACAUGUUUCUUGCAUUUGGCGAAAUAGCCAACGAGCUUUUGCAAAAGUUACGGUUGAUACGGUAAGUUUGGGAUUUGUUCUCCAGUAUGAAAAGAAACAUUUUGGAAGGCAUGGUUGUUCAGACGACGUGAAACGGUUCUGGAAUAUUCUGGUACACGGUGAAGAAAGAUAAUGAAAAGUAGGAGAGAAAGAGAGAGAGAAAUUGAUUUUAUUGAUGAGAGGACGCGUAGACAAUAUGUUACAAUAUUCACACGAUUAACAUGACGCAAAUAAUUGCCAAGGGGGCCAUGUAACUUAUUGUUAUUGUCUUCCUUGUUAUUUUACUAUUAUUUUAAUUGUUUGGAUAGUUGGGUUGGUUGGAAAUGUACAACGUCAAGCCUUAUCCCAUAUCCAAACAAAGGGUCAGUUUUCAAGCUCCAACCACGGCAAUGGCCAACGCAGACUCCAACUCGCUUUUCGUACGUGUCAUCGCUUCAUCUUCACCGUCCAUUUUGUUUGCCCAUAUCUCCGGUAUCGCUUGCGCCACGUUAUUCACAAACUCCACUGCAUAGUCCGCUUCCUUGCUUUUCACUGUCUUCCCAACCUAUACAAACAUUCCAAACACACCACUUACUUAUCAACAUUUAACAUGAUGCAAUUAUACAGAUGCUAUACGACGUCGUCUGCGAAAUUACCAGAACUGUAUGCAGACCCAUUUCUUUUCCCGCGGCAAUGUUCCGAACGCUGUCAUCCAGAAACAGCUGCAAUAUAUAUUUUAACAAACCAUUAUUCCUCAUUCAUCUCAAUAAUUUCUAAUAAAAAAUAAAACUCACCCAUUCUGACUUUUCCUUAAAUAAUAAUCUCAUUAACUUUUCACUGUCAAAAAACGACAUCGCGAAACAAGAAGUGACGACCCGUUUCGUUUCUUGACUUUUGUCCCCUUGUAUUGUGUGUGGAAACACCCUUUCUUUUAUGUAUUUCGAUUAAUAUUUAGAAAGUGAUUUUCCUCAGAACUAAUUCAAGACUUUAUCGCAUGCCUAAAAUAACCCUGCCAUCAACUAACUAUUUUAGAACUCCUUGGUUUUGGUUUCUGGGACCGUUGAUUACUGUUGCUUCUUGAAUUAGUAUUUUAACGUGAUUUUACAGUAAAGGCAAUUCGCGGCGCCCUUACCGUACGACGAGGAUCCACGUUGGCAGCGUGGAGCGCGAUCUUGAAGGCGUCCGGCGAUGGUUUGAGGAGGACGGGAAAUUCGUCGGGUCGGGCUGCGUUGGGGAGAUUCGGGUUAAUAGUCUCGAAGCAAAUAAUUUGCUCGAAACAGUCCUUGAUCCCAAGCCUAUCCAAAGCCCUCAUCGCGUGAAUCCUAUCCGAAUUGGUGAAUACAAUUUUUCUUUGUUUGAUAGUGCAGAGGAGGUUCCGUAACUGAGCGUCAGGCUUGAUCGAGUCGUAAGGUAGCCUUCCGUGCACGAAACUGGUUGAAAGUCAAGAGAACGAAAAGUUUAGUUGUAGCCCAACGUUUAUUUAGUGUUAAUAAAGAAAAUUCUGUUCGGUGUAGUUUUUAUCUGUGUUUUAUUCUCACCUGUGGUAUUCAUCUGCGGUGAUAUCAUAGCCAAGAGCCUGUAAAGUAAGGAAAGAGAGAUUGUUGUAAUGAGUAUAAUUAUGACUUAUUGUGAGUUAUGGAAGGGACAUUGAUGGAAAUUUUGUUAUACUAACUCGCAAACCGGCGAGGGUGCUUCCGUAGGUUUUGAAUAGUUCAACUCGGAGAGUGAGCGCUUUGGAUUCUGAGAAUCCGCAUUUCUCUAUGAGAAAGAGUUCGAUGUUUCUCUUGACGCAGGGAUCAAUUCCGGUGGAGGAGGGGUACAAGGUGUCGUCCAAAUCUGUUUAAUUAUUAAGAAUUAAGAACUAAGAAAGAGUGAUUUGGAAGAAAGAAGAAAUAGAGGAAGCAUGCGUUGGCCUGUACUCACCAAAGAGGAUGGCGUCGAAAGGAGAGGCGAUGGAGGUGAUACCCAUAGUUGAAGAAGUAGAAGAAGAAUGAGAAGUAAAACGGUAUGGGAAAUGAAGAGAAGGAAGCGAGCUUGGAAUGCAGGGAGGGAAGAGGAAUUUAUAGAGAGGAGAUGAGGUGGAGCAUGUGGGUUGGAUAGACAUUGGUGAUGGUAGGAUCGCUGCGUCACCGUUUCGAAUUUGCAAGCCGAGUAGAUGCGGGGUCCACACGAUAAGCGCAUUUCGCUAACUAAAUCUUUCCAUGGACGAUAAUACCCCUGCGCGGUGCUGCCCAAUCCAACCCAGUAUCAUACACUUCAUUAAUAAUGCCAGGACUAUUAUAAUACUAAUAACCCUGCUUCGUUCACACACCAUCAACC
rnacentral:sRNA from 1 species